rnacentral:rRNA from 5 species
UGGGUAGGGGAGCGUUCUGUAAGCCUGUGAAGGUGGCCUGUGAGGGUUGCUGGAGGUAUCAGAAGUGCGAAUGCUGACAUAAGUAACGAUAAAGCGGGUGAAAAGCCCGCUCGCCGGAAGACCAAGGGUUCCUGUCCAACGUUAAUCGGGGCAGGGUGAGUCGACCCCUAAGGCGAGGCCGAAAGGCGUAGUCGAUGGGAAACGGGUUAAUAUUCCCGUACUUGGUGUUACUGCGAAGGGGGGACGGAGAAGGCUAUGUUGGCCGGGCGACGGUUGUCCCGGUUUAAGCGUGUAGGUGUGUGUUCCAGGUAAAUCCGGUUCACUUUAACACUGAGGCGUGACGACGAGGCACUACGGUGCUGAAGCAACAAAUGCCCUGCUUCCAGGAAAAGCCUCUAAGCAUCAGGUAACAUCAAAUCGUACCCCAAACCGACACAGGUGGUCAGGUAGAGAAUACCAAGGCGCUUGAGAGAACUCGGGUGAAGGAACUAGGCAAAAUGGUGCCGUAACUUCGGGAGAAGGCACGCUGACACGUAGGUGAAGUGAUUUACUCAUGGAGCUGAAGUCAGUCGAAGAUACCAGCUGGCUGCAACUGUUUAUUAAAAACACAGCACUGUGCAAACACGAAAGUGGACGUAUACGGUGUGACGCCUGCCCGGUGCCGGAAGGUUAAUUGAUGGGGUCAGCGCAAGCGAAGCUCCUGAUCGAAGCCCCGGUAAACGGCGGCCGUAACUAUAACGGUCCUAAGGUAGCGAAAUUCCUUGUCGGGUAAGUUCCGACCUGCACGAAUGGCGUAAUGAUGGCCAGGCUGUCUCCACCCGAGACUCAGUGAAAUUGAACUCGCUGUGAAGAUGCAGUGUACCCGCGGCAAGACGGAAAGACCCCGUGAACCUUUACUAUAGCUUGACACUGAACAUUGAGCCUUGAUGUGUAGGAUAGGUGGGAGGCUUUGAAGUGUGGACGCCAGUCUGCAUGGAGCCGACCUUGAAAUACCACCCUUUAAUGUUUGAUGUUCUAACGUGGACCCGUAAUCCGGGUUGCGGACAGUGUCUGGUGGGUAGUUUGACUGGGGCGGUCUCCUCCUAAAGAGUAACGGAGGAGCACGAAGGUUGGCUAAUCCUGGUCGGACAUCAGGAGGUUAGUGCAAUGGCAUAAGCCAGCUUGACUGCGAGCGUGACGGCGCGAGCAGGUGCGAAAGCAGGUCAUAGUGAUCCGGUGGUUCUGAAUGGAAGGGCCAUCGCUCAACGGAUAAAAGGUACUCCGGGGAUAACAGGCUGAUACCGCCCAAGAGUUCAUAUCGACGGCGGUGUUUGGCACCUCGAUGUCGGCUCAUCACAUCCUGGGGCUGAAGUAGGUCCCAAGGGUAUGGCUGUUCGCCAUUUAAAGUGGUACGCGAGCUGGGUUUAGAACGUCGUGAGACAGUUCGGUCCCUAUCUGCCGUGGGCGCUGGAGAACUGAGGGGGGCUGCUCCUAGUACGAGAGGACCGGAGUGGACGCAUCACUGGUGUUCGGGUUGUCAUGCCAAUGGCACUGCCCGGUAGCUAAAUGCGGAAGAGAUAAGUGCUGAAAGCAUCUAAGCACGAAACUUGCCCCGAGAUGAGUUCU